UACAGAGGUGGCAAGCGUUGUUCGGAAUUACUGGGCGUAAAGGGCGCGUAGGCGGCUUGGUCAGUCCCGUGUGAAAUCCCUCGGCUCAACUGAGGAACUGCACGGGAAACUGCCUGGCUUGAGUUCGGGAGAGGGAAGCGGAAUUCCGGGUGUAGCGGUGAAAUGCGUAGAUAUCUGGAGGAAUACCGGUGGCGAAGGCGGCAUCCUGGACCGGCAUUGACGCUGAGGAGCGAAAGCUAGGGGAGCAAACGGG
rnacentral:rRNA from 1 species